AUUGUGAAGAGAAAGGGAUGAAGUUAAGGAAAAGAACCUGUACAAGUUGCUUUCACUUUGUAACCGUUAGGCAAAGUUACAUGAUAAGGAACAUACAAAGGUAUGAUGUUAAAAAGAAAGCUUUUAUCAUGUGUCAUGUGAUUAGAUGCCCCUGAAUCUAUGAUCCAGGUGACAGAAUUAAUGUGUGUAAGCAUGCAUAACUUUGAAUCAGAAACAAGACUCUCAGUAAACAUAGUAUCAGCAAAAUUAGCAGCACACAUGGGAGGAGGAGUCUGAGCACUGGAAUCCCCUAACUGGGUCUGUUGCUGCAAGCUCAUCAAUUGAUCAUAAUGGUGUCUGCUCAACCCUGGUAUCACAACACUAUGGCCAUCUAUGUUUGUGACAGGGUGAUGACUGCCAGGAGGAUCCCCAAAGGGAACAGACAUAUUAGGAUUCCCAUGAGUAACAGAUACACUUUCUUCACCAGUGGAGACAUGAGAAGCAUCAGAUUUCCUUCCCUUGUUGUAUUUGAUAUUUUGAGGAAACCCAUGAAUCUUGUAGCACUUAUCAAUUAAGUGCCCAGAUUUCUUGCAGUAUCUGCAAAAUAAGGGCCCUCUACUUUUCUCAAAAUUAACUCUGGGUCUGAAAACAUGUGGACUAGGCACUGUAAAAUAAGGGCCCUCUACUUUGCUCAAAAUUAACUCUGGGUCUGCAAACAGGGGGACUGGGCACUGUGGCCUGAUUAAACCCAACUGAGUGCUUAUUUAUAUUAGCAUUAAAAGACAUAGAGUAUGGACUGAUUUGAGAGAUAGAUUGAACUUGUCUCUGUUUCUCAUCAUUAAGCACUAUAUUGUAAACACUUUCAAGGGAAGGAAAUGGCUGCAUCAUCAACAACCCCCAUAAGAAACUGGAAUACCUUGUUUUCAUCAUCUUCCUCAAUUAUUCCAUUUUUAGUAGCACACACACACAUCUCUGCCCAUGAUUUGUGCACAUUGUGCCCAACUCAUCCCACAGACCCUUGAGCUUGUUAAAAUAUGAG
rnacentral:lncRNA from 1 species